rnacentral:lncRNA from 1 species
GGGGCAGGGCAGUCAGCAUUCCACCCGGGAAUGCCUCUCCAGGUGUGAGCCCCGGGGGGCCACUUGGCUGCAGCCACCAAAGUUGAGUCCGGAAAGCAGAGGGGCAAGGGCAGGGCUGUGCCCGCAGGUGACCACCUCAGCAGCCCAAGAGGACGGAGAGAGACAAGAAAGGCCUCCUGACCCUGCUUGGACAAAUCUAGAGUGAGGACAGAACCAGGGGUGGCCUCACCCCAGAAGGCCUGGACCAGGGGAGACUUAAUAAGAGUUUUGUAGGCAGCCUCCAGUGGUUAGCUGGAAAGACAGAGGGAUGGAAGAGCCCUGGGCGGGAGGGGCAGGUGAGUCAAAAGCUGAGAAGUGGAAAUUCCCCAGAGAGGGAGAGGGGUUGUCUUCCUUUUUCAUGGAAGACAAAGGUGUAUGUGUUUGCAUGUACAUGUGUGAGGGGUGUGUGGAGUGUGUGUGUGUGUGUGUGUGUGUGUGUAUGUGCUCAGCAUGUGUAUGAUCAGAAAAGCUUGGGGCUGCUGGACCAAUCACAAGCUCCUGAUUAUAGGACAGUCAAUCUCUGUGCCUUCCAGACCUGGAAGCUCCAGGAUUGCAUCAGAAGGUGAAGAUUCAGUUUCCUGCUGAUUCCAACCCCCUGCCCUGCCCCACAGCCUGAAUUUAGGGAGUUCUUAUUUGUAUGGAGAAUGAGAGAAAGAAUGACCGUAUUCUGGAUCUGGGAGAGAUUCCCAGGCUCCUCAGAUCUGGGGGUUGGUGGGCGGUGGGCCGAAGGCAGAGCUGACUUUGGACAUGGGGCCACCUCAAAGUGGGGAAGCGUUUAUUGUCUCCUCCUGUACCAGGUGACUUCAGGACACUACCCUGCAUAGUAGUUAUCACAUCCGUGUCCACCCAAGGCCCUGAAGAUAAAGCACUUCUCUAGGGGAACACCAAGCACCCCUUACCCCUCGCUCAGAGCCAUUGUGUUCCCUCCCAAGACCCUGUCAACGGAGGGGCUGCUGUUGACUGAGGAGAGGAUGGCUGGGCCAGGCCCUGCCCCCCGACAGUGUGCCCUGAGCAGCUGUCUCUCUUACUGGUCCUGGCCACAGAACAGUUCUC